rnacentral:rRNA from 1 species
UACGUAGGGUGCAAGCGUUGUCCGGAAUUAUUGGGCGUAAAGAGCUCGUAGGCGGUUUGUUGCGUCUGCUGUGAAAACGCGAGGCUCAACCUCGCGCCUGCAGUGGGUACGGGCAGACUAGAGUGCGGUAGGGGAGAUUGGAAUUCCUGGUGUAGCGGUGGAAUGCGCAGAUAUCAGGAGGAACACCGAUGGCGAAGGCAGAUCUCUGGGCCGUAACUGACGCUGAGGAGCGAAAGCGUGGGGAGCGAACAGG